GACGAACGCUGGCGGCGUGCCUAAUACAUGCAAGUCGAGCGGACUUUCAAGAAGCUUGCUUUUUGAAAGUUAGCGGCGGACGGGUGAGUAACACGUGGGCAACCUGCCUGCAAGACGGGGAUAACUCCGGGAAACCGGGGCUAAUACCGGAUAACAUCUUCCUUCGCAUGAAGGAAGGUUGAAAGGCGGCGCAAGCUGCCGCUUGCAGAUGGGCCCGCGGCGCAUUAGCUAGUUGGUGAGGUAACGGCUCACCAAGGCGACGAUGCGUAGCCGACCUGAGAGGGUGAUCGGCCACACUGGGACUGAGACACGGCCCAGACUCCUACGGGAGGCAGCAGUAGGGAAUCUUCCGCAAUGGACGAAAGUCUGACGGAGCAACGCCGCGUGAGCGAAGAAGGUCUUCGGAUCGUAAAGCUCUGUUGUCAGGGAAGAACAAGUACCGUUCGAACAGGGCGGUACCUUGACGGUACCUGACCAGAAAGCCACGGCUAACUACGUG
rnacentral:rRNA from 1 species